rnacentral:piRNA from 1 species
UNGACAAGCUUGGAUUAUGGUCAGGGGCA